CAGUAGCCGCGGUAAUACGAAGGGGGCUAGCGUUGCUCGGAUUUACUGGGCGUAAAGGGCGCGUAGGCGGACAGUUAAGUCGGGGGUGAAAGCCCGGGGCUCAACCUCGGAAUUGCCUUCGAAACUGGCUGUCUUGAGUACGGGAGAGGUGAGUGGAACUCCGAGUGUAGAGGUGAAAUUCGUAGAUAUUCGGAAGAACACCAGUGGCGAAGGCGACUCACUGGCCCGUUACUGACGCUGAGGCGCGAAAGCGUGGGGAGCAAACAGGAUAAGAUACCCCUGUAGUCCCUGUCUCUUAUAC
rnacentral:rRNA from 1 species